rnacentral:lncRNA from 1 species
AUUAUAAAAAUGGUAUCCUCACUGUCACUUUGAGGCAUACUAGAUGUGAAUAAAUUGACUGAACCAAAUUAUGUAGACUGGUUGAGAAACUUGAGAAUAAUUCUCACUCAAGAGAAAGUCUCCUAUAUAUUGGAUUCACGUGCACUCGAUACGAUCGGAGAAGAUACAUCCGAGGAGGAAAGGGCCACAUAUAAAAUAUAAAAGGAUGACAGUAUGACUGUCAAGUGUAUCAUGCUUGCCUCCAUGAACAAUAAACU